AUGGACAAUGGGCGAAAGCCUGAUCCAGCCAUGCCGCGUGAGUGAAGAAGGCCUUCGGGUUGUAAAGCUCUUUUAGUCGGAAAGAAAGAGUUGCAAUGAAUAAUUGUGAUUUAUGACGGUACCGACAGAAAAAGCACCGGCUAACUACGUGCCAGCAGCCGCGGUAAUACGUAGGUUGCGAGCGUUAAUCGGAAUUACUGGGCGUAAAGGGUGCGCAGGCGGUCUUGCAAGUCAGAUGUGAAAGCCCCGGGCUUAACCUGGGAAUUGCGUUUGAAACUACAAGACUAGAGUGCAGCAGAGGGGAGCGGAAUUCCAUGUGUAGCAGUGAAAUGCGUAGAGAUGUGGAAGAACACCGAUGGCGAAGGCAGCUCCCUGGGUUGACACUGACGCUCAUGCACGAAAGCGUGGGGAGCAAACA
rnacentral:rRNA from 1 species